CACGUAGUUAGCCGUGGCUUCCUCAUAAAGUACCGUCACUUGCAUGUCAUUCCCUACAUGCAUCGUUCUUCCUUUAUAACAGGAGGUUUACAUACCGAAAUACUUCCUCCCUCACGCGGCGUUGCUCGGUCACGGGUUCCCCCCAUUGACCGAAAAUUCCCUACUGCUGCCCUCCCGUAGGAGUCUGGGCCGUGUCUCACGUCCCAGUGUGGCCGUCCACCCUCUCGAGGUCGGCUACGCAUCGUCGCCUUGGUAGGCCGUUACCCUACCAACUAGCUAAUGCGCCAUAACGUCCAUCCUUCAGCUAUCCCGGUGGGAUAUUAAUAUGUCGAUCAUGCGAUUCUUCAUACCUAUGCGGUCUUAGCUAUCUAUUUCUAAUAGUUACUCCCCCUUACUUAAGGCCUAGGUUACUUAUGUUAUUACUCUACCCGUUCGCCACUCAUAUCCGAAGAUAUGCGUUCGACUUGCAUGUAUUAGGCACGCCGCCAGCGUUCACUCCUGACGCCAGGAU
rnacentral:rRNA from 1 species